rnacentral:rRNA from 1 species
CACCGGCGGCCCGAGUGGUAACCGACUUUAUUGGGUUUAAAGGGCCCGUAGCCGGCUUAUUAAGUCUCUUGGGAAAUCUGGCGGCUUAACCGUCAGGCGCCCAAGAGAUACUGGUAAGCUUGGGACCGGGAGAGGUGGGAGGUACUCCAGGGGUAGGGGUGAAAUCUCGUAAUCCUUGGGGGACCACCGAUGGCGAAGGCAUCCCACCAGAACGGGUCCGACGGUGAGGGACGAAAGCUGGGGGCUCAAA